GUAUCCCAAGAAUCCCCAGCAGAAGAUCAUCAAGAGGGUCAUAGCCCGGGAGGGAGAGUUCAUUAAGACGCUUGGCUAUAAGAACCGCUAUCUGAGUGUCCCUGACGGCCUCUAAUGUAUCCAGGGGGACCAUCAAGGCCACAGUCUGGACAGCAACAGCUGUGGACCGUUUCCCCUGUGUAUCAAGAAUGGUCCACCACCCAAAGUCCAUCCAGUCAACUUGACACAACUAUGAGAAAAAUUGGAGUCAACAUGGACCAGCAUCCCUGUGGAUCACUUUCGACACCUUGUAGAGUCCAUGCCCUGAUGAAUUCAGGUGUCUAGGGUUAGUCCACGGCCAUGCCUCCCACAUCAUCUGGCCGCCAAAUCGGUGCAGAGGAUCUAGCCGUCCCUCCCUCCAGAGCAGAGACCCCUGCUGAACUGGCACGUGGACACAACAGAGAGGACCUGAGCCCUAGGACCAUGCCUCAGGACUACCUGGCCUGAAUGUCUCCUUGCUGUCCCCAGUCCACCUGGUCGUGCUGCUGCUCCAGUUUCAACUGUUCUGUCUGCUGCUAUGGAACCCUGACCUGUUCACCAGACGUGCUACCUGUCCCAGACCUGCUGUUUUCAAUUCUCUAGAGACAGCAGGAGCGGUAGAAAUACUCUGAAUGAUCAGCCAACUCUGAAUGAAAAGCCAACUGACAUUUACUCCUGAGGUGCAGACCUGUUGCACCCUAUAUAAAUGUAUUUAUAUAGCCCUUCGUACAUCAUCUGAUAUCUCAAAGUGCUGUACAGAAACCCAGCCUAAAAUCCCAAACAGCAAGCAAUGCAGGUGUAGAAGCACAGUGGCUAGGAAAAACUCCCUAGAAAGGCCAAAACCUAGGAAGAAACCUAGAGAGGAACCAGGCUAUGAGGGGUGGCCAGUCCUCUUCUGGCUGUGCCGGGUGGAGAUUAUAACAGAACAUGGCCAAGUUGUUCAAAUGUUCAUAAAUCACCAGCAUGAUUUAGCACACUAGAGGUCUAUCUAUGUCCCCUACGCCUCCAGUAUUUGCCUCUACCGCUGACUCUACUCAGGAGGAGUGUUCUUUAGGCCUGUUAAAAUGGAUAUCUUCCAUUUUGAAAAGCUAGAGUUGGAUAUGGCACCAAGACUUUGCUCUCGGACAUGGCUGAUGCUGGUUCGGCAGUGAGACUUCAGUCAGAGUUCUCACUGGAGAUGGGUGGAAAGAAGGACAUUUGCUCUAGGAGUCAUAUAAGUCCUAUAUAAAGGAAUCAUGUAGUCUGGAAAGGUUUCUGUGUCAGAAGAUAACCAAUAACACAGAAUAAUAACUAACAAGCUGUAUUUUGAAAAGGUUAAGCCAGGCCUUUGUUUUCUUCUUAAAGCUUCUGGCAAUAUCUAAGCCUCUAUACGUGCCAUGCUGAAGCUUUUUAUCAAUCCAUUUUAGCACCAAGAGAGCACCAUGUCCAGCGCUUUUCACUGACAAUGACAAUAAUAUUGGUUUAGCGAGAUAACUGAUGAGGACUCCUUUUUGCAUAUUUAAAGUUGCAUGAUGAUAAAGGUUUUUUGAAGCCUUGGACAGAAAUUAAAGUUCACUAUCUGCAGGCGACAUCCUCGUCUGGAAAGAUAAUGGAAAUGAAAAUGGAAAAAAAGUAGGCCUUGCUAUGUUUUGAGAGUUUAAUACUGUAACGAUAACAUUAAUGGCAGUAUUACCAGGCAUGUUGAAUUAAGCUUCAAUAGAUCUAUAUACUCUCCAUAAGCCACAACCUUGAAUACAUAUCCUCAAUAAUUUAUCAAGAAAUUAGCUUUUAAUAUAUUUGUCAUGUAAAGUUAACCUAAUGAUGUAAUAUUUAAAGAUAAUGAUGUAUGUAUUAUUAGAUAUUAAAACACAGUAUUAUCAUCACAUUAUAGCUUGUUGACAAACUGAUAUUUGAGGAUGAGAUUGCCAAUUCUCGAAAAUGCUGUGGGGUUCCAGAAUUCUAAAUUCCACAUGGAAGCACCCUCCAUGAUGUCCUCUCCACCUAUGACGGGUUCUACAGCAUGCUUUGUCUCUCUUGAAUGAGAGCACCAAUACAACAGGCUGUGAGUGUAGCACAUCGUCCUUGAGCUACUUAGCAGUUGUACAGUAGACUACUUUAACGAGUUAUCAUUUGGCUUCAUGUUGACACUAUCUCCCAAAUUCUUGCAGCAAAGAAUUACUUUCACAGGUGAUGGUUCAGGAGAUUUAAAAAGAUGUGGUGUGUCCCUGCCCUGUCAUUUUACUGAAAGCAUUAACUGAAAUGUAAUUGAGAUUGGCUGUUGAAUUACUCUGUAUUGGAGCCAUGUACAACUGAGGUAAAACGGAUUUCAAACUCAAUGCAGUGUUACCAAAUCAUAGUGGCAAAAAGCCUUAUUGAACUUCUUCUGUAGCAGAGGAAGCAUUUUUUUGGCCCCUUUAUUGUGCUGGCAGUUGUGAUAAAUGGUGAAAUAAUCCUUUAUGGAAGAUGUAUGAGUAUAACUAUUUUAUUAUUAUAAAUCAAUUAUAAUGAGUUCUUAAUCUCCCCUACAAUACAAGUGACAACCAUUUCUCAAACAUAAAUGACAAUAACACGUCACUAUCCGUGAGAGAAGGUUGUGAUCUUUAAUUAGGUAUAACAUGGCUGGUGUAGGUACAUGCAAUUGGACAAAGGCUUCAUGGAGCAAAUUAGAGAUAAUUAGAUACCUGUAUUGACAUUAAUGACGUUUAUUAUGCUCCAGGUGCCCUACAAUGAAUAUAUUUCCAUGAACCCUUGCCUUCACACCUAUUCCUUCAUUGUAUAACAUUGUUUUGACACUGUUAAAGAGCUGUCAAAGUCCUAUUAAUGAGAACUUUGGCUCAAAUAUGUCAGUUCCAGAAGUUCACCUUCACUCUCUUGUUCCUUUUCUCUCCUUCAGGAAGGUCAGACAGAACAGGACACCAUGGUAGAAUAAAGCCAGUAGGCUCUAAUGUACGUCAUGAAACACAGGUCAAUACAGAUUUCCUCAAGAGCCUGUGAUAAGUUCAAUGGCCAUUGAACACAGAUCAGCAGGGACAUCCUGCGGAGUUAUUGUGCACCUGAGGAUGGUCUAAUGGAGAUGGCUAGGGUCUCACCAUCAAUACUUUCUAAUAGGAUGACUAGAGAUGGGUCAACCAAGGAGGCCCAUUUUGGAUUUGACCUGGGAAAAGGGAGAUUACGUAUUGGUCUAACCAUCAAGUCUAUUAUGGAGGGUCGUCUUUGAAAAUAAUGAAUGGAGAUGGGUCAUGUUAGGAGGUCCUCUUGGAAUUGAACUGGGAAAAGUCCAAGUAAAAUCCAUUAACCACUGGGCACUAACAUCAGUUCAACGUCUAGUUUUGAUUUUCACUAACGUGAAUUCAACGUGAAUUAAACAAACAAACAAUGUAUUGGCUUUAGGUCAAAAGUUUGGUGGGAAAAAGACUAAAUGCCCUUAAGUUGAUGAUGUUAAUCCAAUCAGUUUUCCACAUUGAUUCAACAUCACAUAGAUAUGUUUUGUUGAAAUAAAGUGGAAACAGUGCUGAUUCAACUAUUUUUUGUCGAGUGGGUAGCUACUUUUUUUGUCCAGUGGGUAGCCGAGGUGAGUAAAACAUUUAAACGUGUUAACCCUCGCAAGGCUGCAGGCCCAGACGGCAUCCCCAGCCGCGCCCUCAGAGCAUGCGCAGACCAGCUGGCUGGUGUGUUUACGGACAUAUUCAAUCAAUCCCUAUCCCAGUCCGUUGUUCCCACAUGCUUCCAUAGGGCCACCAUUGUUCCUGUUCCCAAGAAAGCUAAGGUAACUGAGCUAAACGACUACCGUCCUGUAGCACUCACUUCUGUCAUCAUGAAGUGCUUUGAGAGACUAGUCAAGGACCAUAUCACCUCCACCCUACCUGACAACCUAGACCCACUCCAAUUUGCUUACCGCCCAAAUAGGUCCACAGACGAUGCAAUCUCAACCACACUGUACACUGCCCUAACCCAUCUGGACAAGAGGACCUACCUAUGUGAGAAUGCUGUUCAUCGACUACAGCUCAGCAUUUAACACCAUAGUACCCUCCAAACUCGUCAUCAAGCUCGAGACCCUGGGUCUCAACCCCGCCCUGUGCAACUGGGUACUGGACUUCCUGACGGGCUGCCCCCAGGUGGUGAGGGUAGGUAACAACAUCUCCACCCCGCUGAUCCUCAACACUGGGGCCCCACAAGGGUGCGUUCUGAGCCCUCUCCUGUACUCCCUGUUCACCCACGACUGCGUGGCCACGCACGCCUCCAACUCAAUCAUCAAGUUUGCGGACGACACAACAGUGAUAGGCUUGAUUACCAACAACAACGAGACGGCCUACAGGGAGGGGGUGAGGGCCCUCGGAGUGUGGUGUCAGGAAAAUAACCUCACACUCAACAUCAACAAAACUAAGGAGAUGAUUGUGGACUUCAGGAAACAGCAGAGGGAACACCCCCCUAUCCACAUCGAUGGGACAGUAGUGGAGAGGGUAGUAAGUUGUAAGUUCCUCGGCGUACACAUCACAGACAAACUGAAUUGGUCCACCCACACAGACAGCAUCGUGAAGAAGGCGCAGCAGCGCCUCUUCAACCUCAGGAGGCUGAAGUUUGGCUUGUCACCAAAAGCACUCACAAACUUCUACAGAUGCACAAUCGAGAGCAUCCUGUCGGGCUGUAUCACCGCCUGGUACGGCAACUGCCCCGCCCACAACCGUAAGGCUCUCCAGAGGGUAGUGAGGUCUGCACAACGCAUCACCAGGGGCAAACUACCUGCCCUCCAGGACACCUACACCACCCAUGUCACAGGAAGGCCAUAAAGAUCAUCAAGGACAACCACCCGAGCCACUGCCUGUUCACCCCGCUAUCAUCCAGAAGGCGAGGUCAGUACAGGUGCAUCAAAGCUGGGACCGAGAGACUGAAAAACAGCUUCUAUCUCAAGGCCAUCAGACUGUUAAACAGCCACCACUAACAUUGAAUGGCUGCUGCCAACACACUGACUCAACUCCAGCCACUUUCAUAAUGGGAAUUGAUGGGAAUUGAUGUAAAAUAUAUCACUAUCCACUUUAAACAAUGCUACUUAAUAUAAUGUUUACAUACCCUACAUUAUUCAUCUCAUAUGUAUACGUAUAUACUGUACUCGAUACCAUCUACUGCAUCUUGCCUAUGCCACUCUGUACCAUCACUCAUUCAUAUAUCUUUAUGUACAUAUUCUUUAUCCCUUUACAUUUGUGUGUAUAAGGUAGUAGUUUUGGAAUUGUUAGUUAGAUUACUCGUUGGUUAUUACUGCAUUGUCAGAACUAGAAGCACAAGCGUUUCGCUACACUCGCAUUAACAUCUGCUAACCAUGUGUAUGUGACAAAUAAAUUUGAUUUGAUUUUAAUAACCACUAAGUAUGGAGUAUUAGUAUCAUUACUGAAUGUACUUUAUUCCAUCAAUAUCUAAUGACUCACAGUAAUUGAAGACACAGGGAAUUUUAAAAUUGGAAACAAGGGGUUGCUUACUGCAAUUUUUAUUUUGAGUAUGUUAUUACUGUUAGUACCAAUCUCUGUAUUUUUUUUUGCUUUUCAAAAAUAGCACUGUUCAUGGAAUGGCA
ensembl:lncRNA